AGAUAACUCGUCUAACAUAAGACAGCUAAUUUCGACUUAGCCGAUCGUGAUUGAAUUCCACGGUUAUCAA
rnacentral:tRNA from 1 species